rnacentral:rRNA from 1 species
GACGAACGCUGGCGGCGUGCUUAACACAUGCAAGUCGAACGGAAAGGCCCUGCUUGCAGGGUACUCGAGUGGCGAACGGGUGAGUAACACGUGGGUGAUCUGCCCUUCACUUCGGGAUAAGCCUGGGAAACUGGGUCUAAUACCGGAUAGGAGCCAUUUUUAGUGUGAUGGUUGGAAAGUUUUUUCGGUGUGGGAUGAGCUCGCGGCCUAUCAGCUUGUUGGUGGGGUAAUGGCCUACCAAGGCGGCGACGGGUAGCCGGCCUGAGAGGGUGGACGGCCACAAUGGGACUGAGAUACGGCCCAGACUCCUACGGGAGGCAGCAGUGGGGAAUAUUGCACAAUGGGCGCAAGCCUGAUGCAGCGACGCCGCGUGGGGGAUGACGGCCUUCGGGUUGUAAACUCCUUUAGCUAGGGACGAAGCUUUUGUGACGGUACCUAGAUAAGAAGCACCGGCUAACUACGUG